AAGCUCGUAGUUGAAUUUCGGGGUUAGUAGGUUGGUCAUGCCUCUGUAUGUACUGGUCUCACUGAUUCCUCCUUCCUGAUGAACCGUAAUGCAAUUAAUUUGGUGUUGCGGGGAAUUUGGACUGUUACUUUGAAAAAAUUAGAGUGUUUAAAGCAAGCUAACGCUUGAAUACAUUAGCAUGGAAUAAUGAAAUAGGACGUUCGAUCCUAUUUUGUUGGUUUCUAGGAUUGACGUAAUGAUUAAUAGGGAUAGUUGGGGGCAUUAGUAUUCAAUUGUCAGAGGUGAAAUUCUUGGAUUUAUUGAAGACUAACUACUGCGAAAGCAUUUGCCAAGGAUGUUUUCAUUAAUCAAGAACGAAAGUUAGGGGAUCGAAGACGAUCAGAUACCGUCGUAGUCUUAACCAUAAACUAUGCCGACUAGGGAUCGGAUGAUGUUAAUUUUUUAAUGACUCAUUCGGCGCCUUACGGGAAACCAAAGUGUUUGGGUUCCGGGGGGAGUAUGGUCGCAAGGCUGAAACUUAAAGGAAUUGACGGAAGGGCACCACCAGGGGUGGAGCCUGCGGCUUAAUUUGACUCAACACGGGGAAACUUACCAGGUCCAGACAUAGCAAGGAUUGACAGACUGAGAGCUCUUUCUUGAUUCUAUGGGUG
rnacentral:rRNA from 1 species